GUCUUCUUGAUUAUAUAAGAAGUCUGACCUGCCCGGUGAAUAAGUAUUUAACGGCCGCGGUAUUUUGACCGUGCAAAGGUAGCAUAAUCAUUAGUCUUUUAAUAGAGGGCUGGAAUGAAGGGUUUGACGAAAUGCUUACUGUCUCAUUUAAUUUGGAAUUUGAAUUUGACUUUUUAGUUAAAAGGCUAAAUUGUUAUUGGAAGACGAGAAGACCCUAUAGAGCUUUAUAUUUUAAAAUUUGAGAAGUUUUUGAAUAAUUAUUAUUUUUUAAAUGGAAAAAUAUUUUGUUGGGGUGACAAAAAUAUAUAACAAACUUUUUUAUAAAAAUAACAUUGAUAUAUGAUUAUUAGAUCCAUUAUUAUUGAUUGUUAGAGAAAGUUACCUUAGGGAUAACAGCGUAAUCUUCCUUCAGAGUUCAAAUUUACAGGAAGGCUUGCGACCUCGAUGUUGGAUUAAGAUAAUAAUUAGGUGCAGCUGCUUAAUUAAUAGGUCUGUUCGACCUUUAAUUUCUU
rnacentral:rRNA from 1 species